rfam:Spirochaetes bacterium GWF1_49_6 gwf1_scaffold_2249, whole genome shotgun sequence.
UGGGGAGUGGUGCAAUUGGCAGCACACUGGCUUUUGGAGCCAGGCGUUGAAGGUUCGAGCCCUUCCUCCCCAG